CAUGUGCUGGUGUUUGAUAUUUGAUUUGAUUGAUUUGAAUGAUUUGAUAUUCCCGCCCAAAUUGUGAAUGCACCUCCAAUCGCAUACCCAGUAUCGAUACCGUGUCGAUAUGUAUUGAUCGGCUGCCGCCAAAAAGUUGUGUUCCUCGCGGUUUUUACUAAUUAUUGGAGAAUUUUAAGUUUAAUUGGUGUGAAAGUUAAGUUUAAUGAGUUUAAUAUCAAUUGCAAGUCUUUGUCAAGCAGUGAGUGUUUUUUGUUUUGUGCAAAUCCAAGAAAAACUUGUAGAUAGCGACGGAGAUUCUACUCCUGAAAGGUAGGAGAGACGCUGAAACUUCCCAUUAACUCAGAGGCGCCAAAAAGAAGGAAGGACCACGUGGCGAUGGAGGAGCAGGUGGAGGACCAGGAGCAGCAUCAGGAGCAGCCCGUGCAGGAGCUGGAGCGGAAAUGCGAAAAAUGUGUAAAUUUCGGCUUGCUUUUAUUUCUCGCAUUUUCGCCCCGUGAUGAUGUGUAGGUCGCUGAUCCGCUUUGGCAGCGCACCAAGACUUGCCAGACUUUCGAGGCGGCAUUCGAGUCGCCUGCCCCCCCACCGGAAUCCAUUUAAGAACAGUUUCGAGAGAGCACUGUGAGUCCCUGGAUCGAUGGCGACAGGCCGCAGCUGCGGACCAUUUAGAAGACCAUGCCGGAGACGUUUAGUAAAUAUUCAAUCAAUUUAGAUUGAAGGCCCCAGUCGAUAUAAUAAAUCACAAGCAAAAUCAAGAAGGUCUCCAUUUCAGAGCUGUGUUUUGUGGAGACGGACAUGGAGACGAGAUAUGCGUCAUAACAAUAAAAAUUCUGGCAUUUCCCAUUUCCCCGCUGUGCGGCUAAAUAACGAAAAUAUACAAGACAAGUCGACAGGCCAUAAUAUAUCAUGGCCCAAAGGCGUUCGACGAUACACACACACAGGCACACAUAGCAAAAGAAGGACCAAACUGGAGCAGAUCAAGCAGAAGCAGCGGCUGUAGUCUGUGGAAGGACAUCGAGCGCCGUCGCCCGUAAUGGCUGUCAUGGGGAUGGCUCCCGUUCGGCUUCUGGCCCUGGCCCUAUCUCUGGCUCGUCUGCGUUAACUGGGAAUCAAUGACAUAUCGUCAUGGCAAAUACGCAUGCCCUCGGGGGACGGUGAGGGAGAUUGAGCCAUAAAAACCGUGGAAUAAAAUAAUAACCAGGAUAAUACACCAAGCAUAUGUCCUGUCAAUGAUGCAGCCAUUAGCGACAAAUCCCGCCAUCGAGAGGAGGCUUUAAAUCUGAUCCGAUUACCUGAAGCUAAUUGCCAGACAAACUUCUCUCACUCUCGCUCUCUAGUCUAAGCCCGCGCCAAAUGGGAAGGGGCAGAGUUGCUCUACUGCCGAGUAAGACACUAAAAACCCUCGCCGGAUAUAGCCUGGAGCGAGGGCUCC